GGAUUUUUCGCUAGACAUCUUUUAGUUUUUUCAACAUUUCUGACAUUUGCCUUAUUGAGUAACUGAGUAUUAUGAGCCUCUCCAACUAUCCAAUUUUGAAUAAAGAUUGUUGUCAUUAAUAGGUCAAGACACAAAGAUUGAGUUUGUUUUUUUUUUUUUGGUCAAAGAUUGAGUUUGUAUUUAUCUUAUCACAAAGUUGUCUUGGAAAUUUAGCUCUCAUCAGAGAGCAUAUUAUGGUGAUAACUCCUUAUAUCAUUAUAGCCCUUAAUUCUCUCACCUCAACCGUGUUAGGAUCUUCUAAAUUUUCUCUUGAUUUCUCCUCUCCCCUACUAUAGUUUUAAAUAGUACUCCCUCCUGUCCUUAUUAUAAGAAAC
rnacentral:lncRNA from 1 species